rnacentral:rRNA from 1 species
UACGGAGGGUGCAAGCGUUAUCCGGAUUCACUGGGUUUAAAGGGUGCGUAGGUGGGUCUGUAAGUCAGUGGUGAAAUCCCCGAGCUUAACUUGGGAACUGCCAUUGAUACUAUAGCUCUUGAAUACUGUGGAGGUCAGCGGAAUAUGUCAUGUAGCGGUGAAAUGCUUAGAUAUGACAUAGAACACCAAUUGCGAAGGCAGCUGGCUACACAAAUAUUGACACUGAGGCACGAAAGCGUGGGGAGCAAACAGG